CUUUCUUCUAGGACCAUGUGGAACAGGGUGCGAUCUCCCACAGCAACAUAAGCAUAAGAAGCAUGUCAGUGAGAGUGAUUAUAUCAACCACAAGGAACCAGCAAAAGGAAUGGAAUUCACUCAUGAUCAUAAAAUCAUAUUCUGAUUGUCCAUUGAAGCAUUAUGGUUUUGCAAGUGAUACACAGCAGUAAACACGCCCAAGUACAACACAUUAUAGCUGACCAGUGCAACAAAAUAAACAAAGCACAAGAUUCUCAGUAAGCAGCAAAACCGGACGCAUUCAAACUGCAGGGACAAGAGUAUGCUUUUACUUACUAAAGUGCCAGUAUGAUGGCUACAUUUCAUCAUCCAACACCCUGUAAACACCAACAACAGUAGUAAUAAUAAUAAGGAUAAUAGAUAUCACACCCAGUCAAGAUAAUAAACAAUCUUUCAGAAUGCUGUCAAUCAACCACAAAAAAACACAUUUAUUAUUUUCAUCUCAUCCUAAUGUAAAUAAGAACAUUUAUUUACAAUUUCUUAA